UCNGGNUNAANGAAANCUUUAGCCUUCCCCCUGGGNUUCNCCNGCAACGNGAAACUCAAAGGAUUGCGGGGGCCCNCCCAAGNGGANGAANAUUGGGGUUNAUUUNGGNGAUNCCCGAGGNANCCUUACCCNGGCCUGAAUUNCAGAGGAAGGNUUUAGAGAUUAUGNCCNCCUUCGGGGUCUCUGUGAANGUGCUGCAUGGUUGUCGUCAGCUCGUGCCGUGAGGUGUCGGCUUAAGUGCCAUAACGAGCGCAACCCCUCUCUUCAGUUGCCAUCAGGUAAUGCUGGGCACUCUGGAGACACUGCCACCGUAAGGUGUGAGGAAGGUGGGGAUGACGUCAAAUCAGCACGGNCCUUACGUCCGGGGCUACACACGUGUUACAAUGGCCGGUACAGAGGGACGGUGUAAUGCAAAUUGCAUCCAAUCUUGAAAGCCGGUCCCAGUUCGGACUGGGGUCUGCAACCCGACCCCACGAAGCUGGAUUCGCUAGUAAUCGCGCAUCAGCCAUGGCGCGGUGAAUACGUUCCCGGGCCUUGUACACACCGCCCGUCAAGCCAUGAAAGCCGGGGGUGCCUGAAGUCCGUGACCGCAAGGAUCAUCCUAGGGCAAAACUGGUGAUUGGG
rnacentral:rRNA from 1 species